AUACAUGCAGUCGAGCGGACAGAAGGGAGCUUGCUCCCGGAUGUUAGCGGCGGACGGGUGAGUAACACGUGGGUAACCUGCCUGUAAGACUGGGAUAACUCCGGGAAACCGGAGCUAAUACCGGAUAGUUCCUUGAACCGCAUGGUUCAAGGAUGAAAGACGGUUUCGGCUGUCACUUACAGAUGGACCCGCGGCGCAUUAGCUAGUUGGUGAGGUAACGGCUCACCAAGGCGACGAUGCGUAGCCGACCUGAGAGGGUGAUCGGCCACACUGGGACUGAGACACGGCCCAGACUCCUACGGGAGGCAGCAGUAGGGAAUCUUCCGCAAUGGACGAAAGUCUGACGGAGCAACGCCGCGUGAGUGAUGAAGGUUUUCGGAUCGUAAAGCUCUGUUGUUAGGGAAGAACAAGUGCAAGAGUAACUGCUUGCACCUUGACGGUACCUAACCAGAAAGCCACGGCUAACUACGUGCCAGCAGCCGCGGUAAUACGUAGGUGGCAAGCGUUGUCCGGAAUUAUUGGGCGUAAAGGGCUCGCAGGCGGUUUCUUAAGUCUGAUGUGAAAGCCCCCGGCUCAACCGGGGAGGGUCAUUGGAAACUGGGAAACUUGAGUGCACAAGAGGAGAGUGGAAUUCCACGUGUAGCGGUGAAAUGCGUANNGAUUUGUANGACCACCCCUGGCUAACGCGACUCUCUGGUCUGUANUNGAUGCCUAUGAGCGAAAGUGUGGGGAGCCAACAUGANUACANACUCUGGUCAGUUCUCCUCGCCCUUUCAUUAANCGCU
rnacentral:rRNA from 2 species